AACCUUACGCUGUCGUGUGUGGUGUUGCGGUGGAUGGACUCCGUUGCGCGCCGUGGGUCAGUACCAUCUUCGGAUGGCUUUGGUUAAGAAUUUGCAAAGUUGAGAUGUUUUCUUGGUUGCUUUGGCUCUUGGGGAUGCGAGGCAGCAGCAUCAACAAGAGGCAAGUGGAGUUAGACGUGGCUUGGAGGUGGAUAAGGAACCUUGGAGGAGUAGCUUUGAGUUAUUGCCUGGACACAAUCAGAAAUACUCCCUCCAGUCUCUUUUAAUUGACUCGGAUUUAGAACAACUUUGUACUAAAUUUGAGUCAAUUAAAAAUGACCGGAGGGAGUACAUAAGAAGCUGGUAUAGUAACCAGCUUUUACUUCUUGGUUCUUUUCCACACGAUAAUUAUACAAUCCCUGGUCCUUUCACACUACAUGACAUGAAGGUACCAGCUUAGGUGAGGUCAUGUAGUAAGAAACGAUGGUAGCAUAUUCAUCGUUAGUCUUGCAUCUUAGCGAGCAUCCCAUUCGAAG